rnacentral:rRNA from 1 species
GACGAACGCUGGCGGCGUUCUUAACACAUGCAAGUGGAGCGACGAACCAGGCUUCGGCCUGGGGCAGAGCCGCGAACGGGUGAGUAACACGUGGGUAACCUGCCCUGAUGAUUGGGACAACCCGAGGAAACUCGGGCUAAUACCAAAUGUGCCCUCCGGCCGUAAGGCCUCUGGGGAAAGGAAGCUUCGGCCUCCGCAUCGGGAUGGGCCCGCGGCCCAUUAGCUUGUUGGUGAGGUAACGGCUCACCAAGGCUACGAUGGGUAGCUGGUCUGAGAGGACGAUCAGCCACACUGGGACUGAGACACGGCCCAGACUCCUACGGGAGGCAGCAGCGGGGAAUCUUGCGCAAUGCGCGAAAGCGUGACGCAGCAACGCCGCGUGGGGGAAGAAGGCCUCGG